rnacentral:rRNA from 1 species
GGCCUCUGGAAUCNGACACUGCGGGNAACCCUGAUGCAGCCAUGCCGCGUGUGUGAAGAAGGCCUUCGGGUUGUAAAGCACUUUCAGUUGUGAGGAAAAGUUAGUNGUUAAUACCUGCUAGCCGUGACGUUAACAACAGAAGAAGCACCGGCUAACUCCGUGCCNGCAGCCGCGGUAAU